UGGGGAAUAUUGCACAAUGGGCGCAAGCCUGAUGCAGCCAUGCCGCGUGUAUGAAGAAGGCCUUCGGGUUGUAAAGUACUUUCAGCGGGGAGGAAGGGAGUAAAGUUAAUACCUUUGCUCAUUGACGUUACCCGCAGAAGAAGCACCGGCUAACUCCGUGCCAGCAGCCGCGGUAAUACGGAGGGUGCAAGCGUUAAUCGGAAUUACUGGGCGUAAAGCGCACGCAGGCGGUUUGUUAAGUCAGAUGUGAAAUCCCCGGGCUCAACCUGGGAACUGCAUCUGAUACUGGCAAGCUUGAGUCUCGUAGAGGGGGGUAGAAUUCCAGGUGUAGCGGUGAAAUGCGUAGAGAUCUGGAGGAAUACCGGUGGCGAAGGCGGCCCCCUGGACGAAGACUAACGCUCAGGUGCGAAAGCGUGGGGAGCAAACGGG
rnacentral:rRNA from 1 species